GCCCUCGUAGCUCAGGGGAGUAGAGCGCGACGUUCCGAGUGUCGAGGUCGCUGGUUCGAUUCCGGCCGGGGGUAC
rnacentral:tRNA from 1 species